rnacentral:lncRNA from 1 species
GGAAGAUCUGUGGGGCAGUUGAACUGCGGCGGUGGGAGACUGACGUGGGGAAGGAGCCGUGAGGCCAGGGCUGGUCUCUCGUGCGUGAGGCGCCUGGGGGACCUUUUCUGCUUGCACAUCCGUCGGCAAAGGCUGGGGCUGCUGCAGAGGAGCAAGGCCAGUCGCUGGUGGGGUUCUGCGGAUGUCCGUCCAGUUUUGAGACAACACUGGUGUAACAGCAACGGUAACGUUGAUUCAGAGAACGCAAGAGAAGAGGUUGUGCCUAUUUGCCAAGGGAAGAAGCGGCCAUUUGGUAAAGGCGUUGCUCCAUGGAGAAGGCCGUAAGAUUUUACUGGGAAGCCCAUAAGCUCCUCCUCGGUUCCCUGAA